AGAGUUUGAUCAUGGCUCAGGAUGAACGCUAGCGGGAGGCUUAACACAUGCAAGUCGAGGGGUAACAUGAGGUAGCAAUACUUUGAUGACGACCGGCGCACGGGUGAGUAACGCGUAUGUAACCUACCCUGUACAGGGGGAUAGCCCGGAGAAAUUCGGAUUAAUACCCCAUAAAGAUAUAUUAGGGCAUCCUACUAUAUUUAAAGUUUCGACGGUACGGGAUGGGCAUGCGUGACAUUAGCUAGUUGGUAGGGUAACGGCCUACCAAGGCUUCGAUGUCUAGGGGUCCUGAGAGGGUGAUCCCCCACACUGGUACUGAGACACGGACCAGACUCCUACGGGAGGCAGCAGUGAGGAAUAUUGGUCAAUGGGCGUAAGCCUGAACCAGCCAUCCCGCGUGCAGGAAGACGGCGCUAUGCGUUGUAAACUGCUUUUCCAGGGGAAGAAAACCCGCUACGAGUAGCGGCUUGCCGGUACCCUGGGAAUAAGCAUCGGCUAACUCCGUGCCAGCAGCCGCGGUAAUACGGAGGAUGCGAGCGUUAUCCGGAUUUAUUGGGUUUAAAGGGUGCGUAGGCGGAUUAAUAAGUCAGUGGUGAAAACCUGCAGCUUAACUGUAGAACUGCCAUUGAUACUGUUAGUCUUGAGUACGGUCAAGGUAGGCGGAAUGUGUAAUGUAGCGGUGAAAUGCUUAGAUAUUACACAGAACACCGAUUGCGAAGGCAGCUUACUGGGCCAUUACUGACGCUGAUGCACGAAAGCGUGGGGAGCGAACAGGAUUAGAUACCCUAGUAGUCC
rnacentral:rRNA from 1 species